UCGAGUUGUAGAUCUUGAUGGAAACAUGUAACUGCUGCUGAAGCUCUGUAAAAAAAAAGUUCAAUUUUUUAAUGAGAAACCUGUCUGGAAAGUCAAGUGUAUAACAACUGGCAAUGAGGAUAAUUUAUUCCGGCACUUCCCGCGCCCAGUGAAUGCACCUGAGUGUGGCCUGGCCCAGAAGCCUCCGUCGAUGCAAUCCAGGAUGGCCUCCAUUGCAGUGAAGAAGAGGUGAGGCCAUCCCCCCUAUGAUGCUGGAAGAGCUGGAAACUCCCAUUGAGGGCAGAUUGCUCGGGAUUUAAAAGAGUCAGGAAUACACAAGAACAGGGGUUAAAAGCCAACUGCAGCCCUGGUCUCUGUGUGCAAGUUUUCGUGUUCCAGGUCUGGUCUAUGAGGAUGUGCUGUGAAGAUCACAACUGAAAACAUCAACUAGGCAUCCCCAUGCUUGCAGCUGCACAGGUGCCCAUGGACACAUCAGGUGGUGAUGGAGGUGAUUUGACAGCAGCAUCCAACGUUUCUGAAAGGGGUGAUGUACAAGGAAUGGAGGUGAAUCCUUCACACCAGGGCAGUAUGGCAGCUGCAGCGGAAACGGGAGGGGAAUAUCAGGAAGGUGGUCUGACAAUCUUGAGAUCAGAAGACCUGGGCCGAUGUAUUCUAUGAAAUUAUGCUGUGAGCUCUAGGGUUUCUCCUGUGAAUAGGUGUAAGUGUUUAGAAAAUUAAGUUAAUAAUUGCUUUAAAAC